rnacentral:rRNA from 1 species
GAUGAACGCUGGCGGCGUGCCUAACACAUGCAAGUCGAGCGAUUCUCUUCGGAGAAGAGCGGCGGACGGGUGAGUAACGCGUGGGUAACCUGCCCUGUACACACGGAUAACAUACCGAAAGGUAUGCUAAUACGAGAUAAUAUACUUUUAUCGCAUGGUAGAAGUAUCAAAGCUCCGGCGGUACAGGAUGGACCCGCGUCUGAUUAGCUAGUUGGUAAGGUAACGGCUUACCAAGGCGACGAUCAGUAGCCGACCUGAGAGGGUGAUCGGCCACAUUGGAACUGAGACACGGUCCAAACUCCUACGGGAGGCAGCAGUGGGGAAUAUUGCACAAUGGGCGAAAGCCUGAUGCAGCAACGCCGCGUGAGCGAUGAAGGCCUUCGGGUCGUAAAGCUCUGUCCUCAAGGAAGAUAAUGACUGUACCACCAGAAGAAGCCCCGGCUAACUCCGUGCCAGCAGCCGCGGUAACAC